GGACGGUUGGCUCAGUUGGUAGGAGCGCUCGGAUGCAACCCGAGAGGUCACGGGUUCGAGUCCUGCAUCGUCUA